UACGUAGGGCGCAAGCGUUGUCCGGAAUUAUUGGGCGUAAAGAGCUCGUAGGCGGCUUGUCACGUCGGGUGUGAAAGCCCGGGGCUUAACCCCGGGUCUGCAUCCGAUACGGGCAGGCUAGAGUGUGGUAGGGGAGAUCGGAAUUCCUGGUGUAGCGGUGAAAUGCGCAGAUAUUGGGAAGAACACCUGAGGCGAAGGCGGGUUGCUGGGCCGACACUGACGCUGAUGCGCGAAAGCCAGGGGAGCGAACGGG
rnacentral:rRNA from 1 species